AGUUCAGCAAUGGACGAGUAAAGUGGCGAACGGGUGAGUAAUACAUAGGUAAUCUACUUAUAAGAUCGGAAUAACAGUUCGAAAGGACUGCUAAUGCCGGAUAACAUACUUCAUCAAAAGAUGGAAUAUUAAAGGUGGCCUCUUCACAAUGCUAUCACUUAUAAAUGAGCCUAUGGACCAUUAGUUAGUUGGUAAGGUAAUGGCCUACCAAGACAAAGAUGGUUAGCUGGUCUGAGAGGAUGAUCAGCCACACUGGAACUGAAACACGGUCCAGACUCCUACGGGAGGCAGCAGUGGGGAAUAUUGCGCAAUGGGGGAAACCCUGACGCAGCAACGCCGCGUGAGUGAUGAAGGUCUUCGGGUUGUAAAGCUCUGUUAAAUGAGAAGAAAUUCCCAUGUUCUAAUACAAUGUGGGAUUGACGGUAUCAUUAGAGAAAGCACCGGCUAACUCCGUGCCAGCAGCCGCGGUAAGACGGGGGGUGCAAGCGUUGUUCGAAAUUACUGGGCGUAAAGGGCGUGUAGGCGGCAUAACAAGUUAGGUGUGAAAUCUUCAGGCUCAACCUGAAAAGUGCACUUAAAACUGUUAAGCUAGAGAGUGGUAGGGGAAAGCGGAAUUCCUAGUGUAGAGGUGAAAUUCGUAGAUAUUAGGAAGAACACCGGUGGCGAAGGCGACUUUCUGGACCAU
rnacentral:rRNA from 1 species